UACGUAGGGGGCAAGCGUUGUCCGGAUUCAUUGGGCGUAAAGAGCUCGUAGGCGGUUUGUCGCGUCUGCUGUGAAAACCUAAGGCUCAACCUUGGGCUUGCAGUGGGUACGGGCAGACUAGAGUGCGGUAGGGGUGACUGGAAUUCCUGGUGUAGCGGUGGAAUGCGCAGAUAUCAGGAGGAACACCGAUGGCGAAGGCAGGUCACUGGGCCGCAACUGACGCUGAGGAGCGAAAGCAUGGGGAGCGAACAGG
rnacentral:rRNA from 1 species